rnacentral:rRNA from 1 species
UAGUCAUAUGCUUGUCUCAAAGAUUAAGCCAUGCAUGUCUAAGUAUAAGCAAUUUAUACGGCGAAACUGCGAAUGGCUCAUUAAAUCAGUUAUAAUUUAUUUGAUAGUACCUUACUACAUGGAUAACCGUAGUAAUUCUAGAGCUAAUACAUGCGUCAAAUCCCGACUUUUUUGGAAGGGAUGUAUUUAUUAGAUAAAAACCAACACGGGGCAACCCGUUCCUUGGUGAUUCAUAAUAACUUCGCGAAUCGUGAGACUUUGGUCGACGAUGAUUCAUU